AUUUCUUCGGAAUGAAGAUUGAGUGACUGAGUGGCGGACGGGUGAGUAACGCGUGGGUAACCUGCCUCAUACAGGGGGAUAACAGUUAGAAAUGACUGCUAAUACCGCAUAAGACCACAGCACCGCAUGGUGCAGGGGUAAAAACUCCGGUGGUAUGAGAUGGACCCGCGUCUGAUUAGGUAGUUGGUGGGGUAACGGCCUACCAAGCCGACGAUCAGUAGCCGACCUGAGAGGGUGACCGGCCACAUUGGGACUGAGACACGGCCCAAACUCCUACGGGAGGCAGCAGUGGGGAAUAUUGCACAAUGGGGGAAACCCUGAUGCAGCGACGCCGCGUGAGCGAUGAAGUAUUUCGGUAUGUAAAGCUCUAUCAGCAGGGAAGAAAAUGACGGUACCUGACUAAGAAGCACCGGCUAAAUACGUGCCAGCAGCCGCGGUAAUACGUAUGGUGCAAGCGUUAUCCGGAUUUACUGGGUGUAAAGGGAGCGUAGACGGAGUGGCAAGUCUGAUGUGAAAACCCGGGGCUCAACCCCGGGACUGCAUUGGAAACUGUCAAUCU
rnacentral:rRNA from 1 species